GUUGUCUCAAAGAUUAAGCCAUGCAUGUCUAAGUAUAAGCAAUCUAUACCGUGAAACUGCGAAUGGCUCAUUAAAUCAGUUAUCGUUUAUUUGAUAGUACCUUACUACUUGGAUAACCGUGGUAAUUCUAGAGCUAAUACAUGCUAAAAACCUCGACUUCGGAAGGGGUGUAUUUAUUAGAUAAAAAACCAAUGCCCUUCGGGGCUCCUUGGUGAUUCAUAAUAACUUAACGAAUCGCAUGGCCUUGUGCCGGCGAUGGUUCAUUCAAAUUUCUGCCCUAUCAACUUUCGAUGGUAUGGUCUUGGCUUACCAUGGUUUCAACGGGUAACGGGGAAUUAGGGUUCUAUUCCGGAGAGGGAGCCUGAGAAACGGCUACCACAUCCAAGGAAGGCAGCAGGCGCGCAAAUUACCCAAUCCCGACACGGGGAGGUAGUGACAAUAAAUACUGAUACAGGGCUCUUUUGGGUCUUGUAAUUGGAAUGAGUACAAUUUAAAUCCCUUAACGAGGAACAAUUGGAGGGCAAGUCUGGUGCCAGCAGCCGCGGUAAUUCCAGCUCCAAUAGCGUAUAUUAAAGUUGUUGCAGUUAAAAAGCUCGUAGUUGAACCUUGGGCCUGGCUGGCCGGUCCGCCUCACCGCGUGCACUGGUCCGGCCGGGUCUUUCCUUCUGAGGAGCCGCAUGCCCUUCACUGGGUGUGUCGGGGAAUCAGGACUUUUACUUUGAAAAAAUUAGAGUGUUCAAAGCAGGCCUAUGCUCGAAUACAUUAGCAUGGAAUAAUAGAAUAGGACGUGUGGUUCUAUUUUGUUGGUUUCUAGGACCGCCGUAAUGAUUAAUAGGGAUAGUCGGGGGCAUCAGUAUUCAAUUGUCAGAGGUGAAAUUCUUGGAUUUAUUGAAGACUAACUACUGCGAAAGCAUUUGCCAAGGAUGUUUUCAUUAAUCAGUGAACGAAAGUUAGGGGAUCGAAGACGAUCAGAUACCGUCGUAGUCUUAACCAUAAACUAUGCCGACUAGGGAUCGGGCGAUGUUAUCUUUUUGACUCGCUCGGCACCUUACGAGAAAUCAAAGUCUUUGGGUUCUGGGGGGAGUAGUCCCAAU
rnacentral:rRNA from 1 species